CAAUAGCGUAUAUUGAAGUUGUUGCAGUUAAAAAGCUCGUAGUUGGAUUUCGGAUGGGACUUGCCGGUCCGUCGUUUCGAUGUGCACUGGCCAGUCCUAUCUUGUUGUCGGGGACUAGCUCCUGGGCUUCACUGUCCGGGACUAGGAGCUGACGAGGUUACUUUGAGUAAAUUAGAGUGUUCAAAGCAAGCCUACGCUCUGAAUACAUUAGCAUGGAAUAACACGAUAGGACUCUGGCUUAUCUUGUUGGUCUGUGAGACCAGAGUAAUGAUUAAGAGGGACAGUCGGGGGCAUUCGUAUUUCAUUGUCAGAGGUGAAAUUCUUGGAUUUAUGAAAGACGAACUUCUGCGAAAGCAUUUGUCAAGGAUGUUUUCAUUAA
rnacentral:rRNA from 1 species